rnacentral:misc_RNA from 1 species
AAGUCGUAACAAGGUAUCCGUAGGUGAACCUGCGGAUGGAUCAUUAUCACGUAUCUCACGUAUAAACCAUUGUGAACUGUACCCACCUUGGAGAAAAUAAGAUAGUGUUGGAGAUAGCGUUACAACGGAACUCCUAGUGAUUUAGUUCCCAGUUAUCAUUCAACCUUUUAAAAGUACUCUUUUUAAUGCUUGCUUUCUCUGAGUGUAUUCAAAUUAAUCACUAUUUUAAUUUACCUUUUAAACCUUUACACUUUAACCUUAAACUGAUCUUUUUCUUACUCCCGUAAUACGGAGAAGAAAUUCAUUACGAAACAUAAGAACAACUCUUAGCAACGGAUAUCUUGGUUCUC